CGCACCACCUCUGCGCAGCUCCCAGUCAGCUCCGGGCACUCCGCCUGGCGCUCGGCGCUGCAGCUGGGGCACCGGAAUACCACCUCCCCGGACAGGUCGACCCGACGCACGGCCAGGCUCAGCAUUAAGGCAGGCCAAAAGUAAUUGGACAAUCGCAGAAUCAUUACCAUGGUGAAGAGAAAUCCCUUCGUAACAGCCAACCAAGUGAACAACACUCUCCAGGACGUGGACAUAUCAAUAUCCAAGUCUACCAUAAAGAGAAGACUGCAUGAAAGCAAAUACAGAAUGUUCAUGCAAGAUGCAAGCCACUCAUAAGCCUUAAGAACAGAAAGGCUAGAUUUGACUAUGCAAAAACACAUCUAAAAAGCCAGCACAGUUCUGGAACAGCAUUCUUUGGACAGAUGAAACCAACAUCAACCUGUAUGAGAAUGACGGAAAGUAAAAAGUAUGGAGAAGGGCUGGAACAGUUUAUGAUCCAAAGAACAUCGUAUCAUCUAUAAAACAUGGUGGAGGCAGUGUGAUGGCUUGGGUGUGCAUGGCUGCCAGUGGCACUGGGUCUUUAGUGUUUCUUGAUGAUGUGACACAGGAUGGAAGCAGCCGAAUGAAUGCUGAGGUGUUCAGAGACAUCAUGUCUGCUCAAAUGCAGCCAAAUUGAUUGGCCGGCGUUUCAUAAUGCAGAUGGACAAUGACCCAAAACACACAUCAAAAGCAACCCAGGACUUUAUUAAAGCAAAGAACUGGAAUAUUCUCUAAUGACCAGGUCAGUCACCUGAUCUGAACCCCAUUGAGUAUGCAUUUCACUUACUAAAGACUAAACUACAGACAGAAAGACCCUCAAACAAACAGCAACUGAAAGCUGCUGCAGUAAAGGCCUGGCAGAGCAUUAAAAAGGAGGAAACCCAGCGUCUGGUCAUGUCCAUGAGUUCAAGACUUCAGGCAGUCAAUGCCUGCAAAGGGUUUUCAACUAAGUAUUAGAAUUGAAUAUUUUAUUUGCAGUUAUAUUAAUUUGUCCAAUUACUUAUGAGCUCCUGAAAGGUGGGGAUUGUGCAGAAAAAUUUCUUUAGUUCCUCACAUUUAGUUCCCCACAUUUUUAUGCAAUGUUUUUGUUCUACCCACUGAAUUAAAGCUGAAAGUUUAAAAAUUAUUGUGGUAAUGUACAGAACUUAAAAAUGGAAAAACUUUGUCUCUGUCCAAAUAUUUAUGGUCCAGACUGUAUCUCAUGGAUAUAAGUUUAACCAUUUACAUCACUUCCAGAUGCAACCGGAAUGCACAAACAUCGGGUCGUUAAAAAAAGGCAUGGCUUGCAAAUAGUUUAUUUUUGGAAGUUAACCAACCCCUCUGCCUUUUAGAAUACUAUGCCAGUCUCUGAACUAUGGGUACAGGGAAUGCAAAAUUGGCAAAUUUUGGUCAUGAUGUGUAGCCAAACAUUAAACUGAUAUUUGUCAGGGUCAGCAACUGUCCGACCCCGCCCUACGUGUCCCCUACCCAUUAAGCCAGCAGGUGUUGCUGGCCAUCCUGUCCUCUUCCCUGUUUUCUUGCCCUUCAGCCCCAGUUUGCCUAAAUUUCUAGUGUGUUUUCACUGUUCCACAAACUGCUAAAUAGGUCAGUGUGGUUCUGAUACUGUUCCCUUGUGUUGUGGGUUUGAGGCUGGCUUGAGACCAGUCUCACCUGUUUUGUUUCCUGGAUUUUUGUUCUCUAUUGUUUAUUUUGUGUUUUCUUAUUCUCAAGUUUCCCCAGGUUUAUUGUGGAUAUUUCUGUGUAUUCUUGUUUCUGGUAUUUUCUGGUGGCGUUUCCCCUAGUACUUGCUGUAGAUUUUUGCUUUGUAGAUGUUUGUUAAUUCUCUUAGUUUUCUGUGUUCUUAGGAUUAUUCUGUCCACCUGUUUCUCAUUGCUCCUUUGUCUCCCUUGAUUGGUUCAUUGAUUAAGUUACACUUGUUCCCUGUUUUCCCUAGAUGUUGGUGUAUAUAAGUGCCUUCCCUCACUCUGCGCUUUAGUCUGCCAUUGUCAUGGUGAAAUGUUGCCAUGUGCUUUGGUCCUUGUACCUGGUUCCCAGUUCUGCUGUCUGUGUUGCUCUGCUCCUUAGUUGUUUUUCCCUUAUGGAUUUUGUAGCUUGUUUUACUUUUAAGUUCUGUUAUAAUUUUAUGAGCCCUCGUGGUCCUUUAUUUUCUGUGAUUCCCAGUGUUCUGUACUACAAAACCGCUUAUUGUUUUUAAGUUGCAAGUAGAUCAUCACAUCUCUUCCUGCUCGUACUAUGCCCUGAAUCUGUAACAGAUAUUAUUUUGCAACUCUGGUGUUAACAUGUGGUUUCCUGACACUCGCUAUAAUCUGAAUUAUGUAUCUAUGGUGCAGUUAUAGGGUGUGGUCUCUACACACAGCGCACUGUUUCUGCGUCUUCUCAGAAGCUGCCACUGGCUUAAAUUAGCCUGUUGGUCUCGCUGGAUGUUUUUCUUGUGCAGUACAAAUGUCCCAUCAGGCUAGUAAUGGGGGGAGGGUUUCAUAUUAAUAUUGGAAUAGGGAAAAGAAUAGAACUUACAGUUUUGCUCAACACACAUUAUCAGCUGGGAUCAAAUGACGACAAAGAACUCAGAAAUCUAGAGGCAGAGAGAUCAGUGGCAUAAGGCUAUUUCUUCUGAAACACAGACCAGUAUACUAAACUGGUGAAUAAUGCAGAGCAGCUCAGCUAUAAAACCCUUCUGGAAAAUUUCAGUAAAAUUUCCAGUAGAGAAGGCACAUGUUUAGAUAAUCAAUUCCUUCAGUUGUCUGUGUGUGCGUGUAUGUGAGAAAGGGAGAGAGAGCCAAAUAAGCUGGCUCUCAAACACAGCCUUUGACCCUCCUGAAAGCACUCCCACAGGAAAAACAGCAUGUUGGGUAGGUUCCUGCGGAUUCUGGCAGUCCUGCUGUGGGCAAUACAGGGUCUAUCACCAGUAUCACCCAGGUUAAGAUCCUUUCUUGAGGGAAUAGUACUGUUCCCUUGCGGAAGGUGCUUUUGGUUACCAUUAACUACUGCACCUAACAGUUAUAUGACUAACAAAGCAUGUAAACACAUACGCAGUAACAGGCUGAUUUAUUUGCUAUUGUAUUUAUUUUUUGCUGGCAAUAGAGGUUUUGUCUCAUCCAGUUAAACUAUUUCUAAUGGUGCUGCUCCAGAUUGUUAAUGGUCCAAAGUUGCUUCAGUCCAGCUUCAGUUACCGUGGAACUAUUAACUUACUGGAACAAUGUCCCUUGGCUUAUUGUGAAGAUAUUAAUUUCCAUCACAGUCUCUUACUGUGGUGUUUACUGUAUUCAUACGCUAAUAUUCUUGGUUAUUUUUGCUGUGUUAAUUUGUUUAAUAUCUAAUGGAUUUCCAUAUUUAAUUUGUCAACCCAACAACAUGGCUGAUGUACAUGGCUAUAUAAGCAUCAUUUAGUGAUCUGCAAGGUGUCCUCUGAGGCAUAAGCUCCAUUUGCUGUGCUCUGUUGUGCUGUUACCAGGGGCAGCAUCAAAGCCACCACAUGGCCAGUGAAGGGCAGUAAGCAGUGAGCUUUGAAAUGGGCUCAGCAGGCCAGUCAUUAGCCAUGGAGAUGCUAUACAGCUACUCCUCCACAGUCACAGAAAGGCUUCUUCCUUGGUCUGAUAUCCCAAAAGCUUCCCAUCAUCUGGUUCCACUUGAGAGCAAAGCUUCCUUACAAAAACACACAUCACACACUAAUAAAAAGCGGCCGUUCCCGCUGCCUCCUGUUAAAAAAGGUUAUACGGCUAAAGGCUGCUGGGUGGUCUGUACUGCGAGCAAGACUGGGAAAUAAAGUAAGUGUCUGGUGUUCUUGUUGAACAGCUUUGCUUUCAUCUCCUUGAGAGGUACAGGGAGAGGGGAGACCGAGCUAUGGUGGUUUACCAUCUUGAGUAAUAACUUGGACUCACACCAGAGGUAGCUGGCUUUGUAUAGAUCCCAGCCCAGUCCCGCAGCACCUGGAUCUCCCCAUCUCCCCCCGAGCCAACCUGAUGUGACCGUAACAAAGGCUUUUGAUUUUUUUUCAACAAGGGCUUGAGCUAUCCCCAUAACUCACAUGUCUGCUGCCACCCGCACCAUCACUGAAGCUGUGCUGGGACCAGCGACAGUUGAUCUGCCUGGGGGUGGCUUGGACUUGCGAAGCCCACCAACCCCCCAGUUUCACACAGUUUCACCAUGUUAGUCCUUGGCCCAAGGUGUGUUUCCGGCACCAGCAUCAUUUCUUAACAACCCUACACUCAAACUAUACACUAAAACAAAACGCAAAAAAACUACUCAGCAUAUUCAGUGGGACGAGAGCCUUACUGCAGUACUAAUGGUCCCACCUGUUCACCAAUGUCAAGUUCUUAUGAAAAACUAGAAUGCUGUACAAAACUCACCAUCAGGGAUUCCACAUUACUCUAAGGUACAUGUUUCUUUGUUCCUUUACUCUAAAGGAUGUUUGUUUGUUCCUUUACUUUGCAAACACCCUAUGGAGUGUGGUCCCAUUGCUGAAUGCAGGUAUGGCUUAUCUAUGUUGCUAGCUCUGAUAGACAGGGAUCCGUGCAGCACAUCUGCAGCCCCUGAUCUUGGAUGACUUGUGAGAUGUCAUUCACUCUGGUUCCUGAACCAUCAAGUUAUCCUGGGGAGAUCAUUUCAUGUUCCACGUCCUGCAAUUCAGCUGUAAAAAUGACAUCGCACUCAUUCAGCCAAUGUGUUCACCAAAAAACACAGUUUCCUUUUUUUCUGGUAGUUUUUAUAUCACUGCAUCUGGUCCUCAAAAGAAAUAACGUGUUUCUUUACUUAAUGUCAUCGUCAGAUGUGAUGAUUGUGAAUGAUUUCUUUUAGUGUUGACACUGAAAGAUCAAACACGGAAUAUAAGCGGUAUAACUUGAGAAGGGAGCGUCAUUGUGCACGACAUAUGUGGGUGUAUCUCAUUUAGCUUUCAUGACUCACGUCUCAUAUCAAGGUCACGUUUUAAAGUGAUUCUUCUUGAAAAGGAGUGAUGGCCCGAUUUUAACACAUGGCUGAAUCCAGAAGCAAGCCGUUUUCCGUCUCGCUGACGGGUGAUUCAUGCAGUUUGACUGCAACAGAGCAGCUUCACCACAAAUCCUGGUGGCGGUGUUAUUCUUUAAUGUCUACAUCCAAAAGCUCCUACAUCUUAAUUUGUAUGUACAAUGUAAAAUCUGUCAUAUAAAAAAUACCUCCCUAUUAUACAUGCCAGUUUUCUUCAGUGCUUUAUCUGGUGGGGGGGGAAAGUGCCCAACCCUCCCUUCUGCCUGCAGGUGAGCUGUAGUCAAAUAUGCCUGCUGCCAUAGUGACUCACACAGAACUUGGAGAAAUGCACAAGUCAUAUGACACACAACCAUCGGGUGCAUCAUCACAAUGACCAAAGCCCACGCCAAACACACCAGCACAUCGACCAGUGGCUAUAUGGCUUGGGUUUUCGGUGACCAUUAAGGUCGUCACAGAUGCAACCCUUGUGACUCGCACCAUGUCACCCUCAUUGCACAUCGCCCAAUGUCCCCACAAUUUCUUUCAGGAGGAUAAGUAAAACAGGAGGAAAAAAAGGUAAACAGACAGGGUACAGAGUGGGCAGGACACACCGGGCCUCCUGGAGGCCUAGCUGACAGCCUGGGAUUCUUUGCAGCCAUCCAAUCACAACUACAACAAGAAAACAGCAACAACAACAACACCAAGAAACAAAAGCUCUCUCACACAAAUCUCACAUACACAAACACACAUGGUCUUCAGGCAGAGUCAUUGUCUGUUUGCAACACAUUCAGACAGAAACCUACAGUGCGAUAUACUGUAUCACUACUUUGAACCUCUGUAUGGGUAUUGCACAAGUGUCAUUGAUUGUUCUCCUCUAGAAAUUAUUGUUCCUUCUAUCAAUUGGCCAGCAUUAGCAUAUUGCUUCUUCUGAUUGCUAUGCUGUUACCGCCCUUGCAGAGCAUGUAGUUAUACAGGCAUAUGGAGUUCGUCGUAUUCAUCCCUGCCGUCUUCGUCGAAGUUGGGGGAGUCCUCGUCAGAGUCCAGCUGAAAUCAUCCAAAUACAGGGACUUAAUAUGCUACAGGACCAUCUAAGUUCCAGUCUGAAGGUGCAGCAAGGCAUGAUGGGCCAGAGCUGUUUCCAUGGUUUCCCAGCAACGUGACAGAAAGCAAGAAGCUCCACCCACCGCUUUGAGCUCCCGCUCCUUGAAUAUCCGUGUGAGGACUAGGCGACGUAGUGGCACGGUCAGGAUAAGGACAAAUGGGAAGGCCAGAGAUGCCACCGUCGACUUGACUACCCACAGCAGCAUGAUGCACGUGAGCUGGAUGACCGUGAACAUGUUCAUACGCCAGGUUUUAACCUGCAAAUCACGACACAAAGGGAUAUACACAGACUCUCGCACAGACACCGCAUGCAGGGAUGCUGUCAUGUUCACACCUCCUAAACUACAUGGUUCUGCAUGACUCCUCUGAUUAGGGGGGUUGUUUGUGGAUGUGAAAAUGGAUUGGGCACCACCUAGUGGCUCCUACUAUGUACAACACUGUGUAAUAAGGUUUGCUGUGUGCUGGUUAGGGACGGCACCUUGGUGACGUAGACAUGGUCUGGGUGGUGCUUGGCUGGUGUGACCAUCAACAUGACACGCUCAUACAGUUGGAUGCCCGUCAGGGAGGUGACACCCAUGUACAGGAAGAUGCCGAAUAUCACAGCCAAGGGGAUGUGGCAUAGCACGUUGGUCAUGACACCAGACAUGCCUGAGAGAGAGCAGGAGGGAUGGCUUGUCAGGAGAUCACAUCUCUCAGGAGACUGGAACUGCUCCCUGAAAAGCUGCUUGAAAAUGGCUAAAUAACAGGGAAAUGUUACACGCCUCAAGAGAACAUCAUCACAGACAAAGGCGAUGCUAAGAACACAAUCCAACAAGCACUGAAGAGCCCCCUGCAGAAUAUAAAUACAUUUUGUUCUGACUGAUAGGUCAAACAGACCUUCUUUACUCAAAAGGAACACUAGAUGUCAGUAUAGUUGAGAGGUAGCACUUACCCAUGAGUAGGGCGACAGCCAUGCCGGUGAGCCUCUGUUCUUUGACCUCCUGGAUGACAGGCCUCUCGCCAGGGGCUGUGGUAGUGCUCAUGACUGUGAGGGCAUUGACGUGGGUGAUGGAGCGAAGAGUGGCAGCUGUGAGCCAGGGCAGGCCGAAGAGUGGGCAGAGCGCCCCCAGCAGGAUAAUCAGCAGCAGAUCCAAGUGGAAACCUGAACCCUUCACCAGGUUGUGCAGAUCCAUUGGGCUUGAAGUGGGAUGGUGUGUGUUAAGUUUGGGGAAACACACACUCACGAGGUGAUCUGGGUUUCCAUGAAGAUGAGGAUGAAAACCAGAAGGGCAGGGACAAUGGAGGCGGCCAUCAUCCAGAUGGGAAAGAUCUGCUUGUCUCCAAAUGGACUGAUGAACCAGCCACGCUUGUCAGGAGAUGUGACUGAGAAUCCUGUGGGCACAUUCAGCUUCUGCCACAGCAAUGAGACCACAAAACAAAAAGAGUUAUAGCCACUCAUGACACUCUUAUGGAACAUGCCCUGUAUGCAUGAGAGCCUCAAUUGGGUUUAAGAACCUGUGUGUCAGCAUCUGGAAUGACGUAAUCCAUAAUGACGGAACACAGGAUGGAGAUCGGAAUCCCAAAGUCACCGAUGAUUCGCCUGGCCUGCAAAGUAGAAUAAUGAACCCAUUCAGGCAGUCAAAAGAUGUCAAGAUUGGUUCCUGUCCUGCCCUGACCAAUAUGUCAUUUCCAUUUUUAGCCAGCAGGUGUUGCUGGUCACCCCAUCUCCCAUUAUUUCAAAGGUUUGUUUUAGUUCCCAGUAUCUGCUCUUGUUUCUUGGGCUGCCAUGUGGCUCAAUUAGCUGCGUGUGCAACUAUGUAAAAGGUAUCUCUACUUCUGGAGUUCACAGCUAGCUAAAGUUCAAUAAAGUCAACCUGAAUCAUCUGUUUGUCACCAUGCCCAUCUGCAACAGUAGAAACGUCAAACAGCUCCCAGUGAGUCACACCAUACCUUCCCUCCCAAGAAGCGGCUGUUCCGGAACUUUCUGAAGAAGAAGGCCACAAAGAAGGUGCCCAGAACAAGCACCAGAGACAAAAGGGCUGUGUUGGGUUGUGUGCCUUGGGCACUGGGGUUUACUUCAAUGUCCAACUCCCAGGAAUUGUUGGAGAAGCCCAGGGAAGAAGGAGAGCUGGGCAAGGGGUUAUUUCUCACGAAUGGAUGCUCCUGAAACACCUGGAAAUUGGGUGAGGACACAGGAUCAGGCGUUCACAAAUAACAGAAGGAUCAGUAAUUUCACAUCCCAAGCCUCUGCACUCAUGGUGGGAGUUAUUUCCAGGGCUUGACCUUACCUUUAUGAGUUUGGAGAAAGACUCAAAGAUAAAUAUGAGAGAAAUAAGGAAUGCAAAGAUUUCCUGGGUGAAGGGAGAGAUGUAGCGAACCAGGAAGCUUCCCUCUGCAGCUACAAUGAUCAGCACAAUGAAGAUAAGCCAGAAGCCAAUCCAUACCCGGCCAGUCAGGUACUCAAGACCCUGAGCCUGGCAGAACUGGGACACAAGAAGGCUUCCUCAAACACUAGCAGAGGACCAGAAAAACCAAUGAUGAGCAGAGGCUGGCCUGCCAGGAGGGAGAAGAUCACCCCUAGGACAGCAGUGGAGAUGAUCAGCUCAGACACACCCAUCAGACCCUCUGUCUUCUCACCUGUAAGAACAGUAGGCAGCAAUGGAGCAUCUCCCUCUGGAAUGAGGCCACAGUUUUCAGAAGGUCCUUCCCCUCCACGUCUGAAGGAGGAAGGACAAUGCUACAGUCCAAGAACUCAUUGAUGCCACUGAGGAGGUCCUGUCGAUCGUCGGCAAAGUAGGCCACCUCAUGGAAAUUCUAGCAGGGUUUCAACAACAUAACAUAUUGUCACAUUUAAAGUCAGAGGAACGGCGUAUAAAAUAUAAAAUACCAUUGAUGAAAAUGAGAUAUUAAUUAAGAAUAAGAAAUUGAAAGGGCCACCUUAUCAGACAUGAGAGUUGAGAUGGACCGGCCAAUCUCAUGAUAAUCCAUACUGGACUCGGCAGGACCCAGUAGCACGAAGAGGAAACGCACAGGAACUGGUACCUCCAGGAUGGACUCCAGCAGCACCGCCUCACUAAGCCGCACAAAGGCUGAGGCUGGCUGCUCCAAGAACUCCACACAGCCUGUUAAAUCACAUAACAUGUCAGAUGAUCCAGCGCCAAAGGUGCAUCCAAGCAGGAAGGCUACAGAGGCCAUACAGUAGGGCUGCAGACAGAAUUGCAAGGUCAACCCAAACACAGCAGAGCUGAACCCAAGCACAAGAUGAACCCAAAUACAAAAGAGGUAAACCAAAACACCAGUGGGAUGAAGCCAAACUCAGCAGAGGUGAAGCCAAACACAAGACAGAUAAACGCAAGCACAACAGAAGCGACUCCAAACACAGCAGAGCUGAACCCAAACACAGCCCAAUCAAUACCAGAUAUGUGGGUUUGCAUUACAGGUCAUCAUUGACUUAAGACCGCAUAAGUCAUUGUAUUUUAUAUGCAAAAAAUAUCAUUUGUACAGUAUAGUGUACAAUAAAAUUAUAUCAUCUUUAA